GAAUAUUGGUCAAUGAGCGGAAGCUUGAACCAGCCAUGCCGCGUGCAGGACGACUGCCCUAUGGGUUGUAAACUGCUUUUAUACGGGAAUAAACCCCACUACGUGUAGUGGGCUGAAUGUACUGUAAGAAUAAGGAUCGGCUAACUCCGUGCCAGCAGCCGCGGUAAUACGGAGGAUCCAAGCGUUAUCCGGAUUUAUUGGGUUUAAAGGGUGCGUAGGCGGCCUAUCAAGUCAGAGGUGAAAGACGGUAGCUCAACUAUCGCAGUGCCUUUGAAACUGGUGGGCUUGAAUGUACUUGAGGUGGGCGGAAUGUGACAAGUAGCGGUGAAAUGCAUAGAUAUGUCACAGAACCCCGAUUGCGAAGGCAGCUCACUAAGGUAUGAUUGACGCUGAUGCACGAAAGCGUGGGGAUCAAACAG
rnacentral:rRNA from 1 species